GAUGAACGCUAGCUACAGGCUUAACACAUGCAAGUCGAGGGGAAACGACAUCGAAAGCUUGCUUUUGAUGGGCGUCGACCGGCGCACGGGUGAGUAACGCGUAUCCAACCUGCCCACCACUCGGGGAUAACCUUGCGAAAGUAAGACUAAUACCCAAUGAUAUCUCUAGAAGACAUCUGAAAGAGAUUAAAGAUUUAUCGGUGAUGGAUGGGGAUGCGUCUGAUUAGCUUGUUGGCGGGGUAACGGCCCACCAAGGCUACGAUCAGUAGGGGUUCUGAGAGGAAGGUCCCCCACAUUGGAACUGAGACACGGUCCAAACUCCUACGGGAGGCAGCAGUGAGGAAUAUUGGUCAAUGGGCGAGAGCCUGAACCAGCCAAGUAGCGUGCAGGAUGACGGCCCUAUGGGUUGUAAACUGCUUUUAUAAGGGAAUAAAGUGAGCCUCGUGAGGCUUUUUGCGUGUACCUUAUGAAUAAGGACCGGCUAAUUCCGUGCCAGCCGCCGCCGUAA
rnacentral:rRNA from 1 species